GCUGAAGCGCCCAAGCCUAUUAUCUGCUGCUGGGCGCCUACCUAGCUUCUACGGGAUCUGACUCCUGUGCUCCUCCGAUGCGGAGUAGAGUUGCUAUUGAACCCCGAGAAACUGUGACAUGAGUUUCUCUGCAAUUUCGGCAGCUGAGCGAGAGCAAGAGAAUGGGAAAUACUGAGUUAAACUUUAUUUGCUGUUCCAAACCGCGGCGUUCGGGGGGCGUUGAGGUGAUGCAGAUCCCUCCGUCCUCCCAGUGUAGGAGACAGCGAAGGACGAGCAGCUUUGGCUGCUGAAUGCUCCCCCCCUCCGUCACCACCACCACCACCACCACCACCCGCAUUCUUCCCCUGCUCCCUCCAUCUCUGAUGGCUCUAUGGGGUGUCUUCAGCCUCAGCCUUCACUGCUGGGUGUGUUUACGAUCUGCAGUAACAGCAGCAGCAGCAGCAGAAGU